UACGGGGGGGGUAAGCGUUGUUCGGAAUUACUGGGCGUAAAGGGCUCGUAGGCGGCCAACUAAGUCGGACGUGAAAUCCCUCAGCUUAACUGGGGAACUGCGUCCGAUACUGGAUGGCUUGGAUUUGGGAGAGGGAUGCGGAAUUCCAGGUGUAGCGGUGAAAUGCGUAGGUAUCUGGAGGAACACCGGUGGCGAAGGCGGCAUCCUGGACCAAUAUUGACGCUGAGUGAGCGAAAGCCAGGGGAGCAAACGGG
rnacentral:rRNA from 1 species